AUUGAACGCUGGCGGCAUGCCUUACACAUGCAAGUCGAACGGCAGCACGGGUGCUUGCACCUGGUGGCGAGUGGCGAACGGGUGAGUAAUAUAUCGGAACGUACCUUAUUGUGGGGGAUAACGCAGCGAAAGCUGUGCUAAUACCGCAUAAUCCCUAAGGGGGAAAGCGGGGGACCGUAAGGCCUCGCGCAAUUAGAGCGGCCGAUACCUGAUUAGCUAGUUGGUGAGGUAAAGGCUCACCAAGGCAACGAUCAGUAGCUGGUCUGAGAGGACGAUCAGCCACACUGGGACUGAGACACGGCCCAGACUCCUACGGGAGGCAGCAGUGGGGAAUUUUGGACAAUGGGGGCAACCCUGAUCCAGCAAUGCCGCGUGAGUGAAGAAGGCCUUCGGGUUGUGAAGCUCUUUUGUCAGGGAAGAAACACCGGCUCUAACACAGUCCGGGAAUGACGGUACCUGAAGAAUAAGCACCGGCUAACUACGUGCCAGCAGCCGCGGUAA
rnacentral:rRNA from 1 species